rnacentral:rRNA from 1 species
GACAGAGGUGCCGAGCGUUAGGCGGAAUCACUGGGCUUAAAGCGUGUGUAGGCGGAUCGUUAAGUACCUUGUGAAAUCCCCCCGGCUCAACCGGGGGAACUGCUGGGUAUACUGGCGAUCUUGAGCGAUCUAGGGGGCAGAUGGAACAAGUGGUGGAGCGGUGAAAUGCGUAGAUAUCACUUGGAACGCCAAAGGUGAAAACAGUCUGCUGGGGAUCUGCUGACGCUGAGACACGAAAGCCAGGGGAGCGAACGGG